CCUACGGGAGGCUGCAGUGGGGAAUAUUGGACAAUGGGGGCAACCCUGAUCCAGCCAUGCCGCGUGUGUGAAGAAGGCCCUCGGGUUGUAAAGCACUUUCAGUGAGGAAGAACGCCUGGUGGUUAAUACCCAUCAGGAAAGACAUCACUCACAGAAGAAGCACCGGCUAACUCCGUGCCAGCAGCCGCGGUAAUACGGAGGGUGCGAGCGUUAAUCGGAAUUACUGGGCGUAAAGCGCGCGUAGGUGGCUUGAUAAGCCGGUUGUGAAAGCCCCGGGCUCAACCUGGGAACGGCAUCCGGAACUGUCAAGCUAGAGUGCAGGAGAGGAAGGUAGAGUUCCCGGUGUAGCGGUGAAAUGCGUAGAGAUCGGGAGGAAUACCAGUGGCGAAGGCGGCCUUCUGGACUGAAACUGACACUGAGGUGCGAAAGCGUGGGUAGCAAACGGGAUUAGAUACCCUUGUAGUC
rnacentral:rRNA from 1 species